rnacentral:rRNA from 1 species
ACUGACAGCCAUGGUUACCGCGGCUGCUGGCACGGAGUUAGCCGGUGCUUCUUCUGUGAGUGAUGUCCUUCCUGCCGGUUAUUGACCCGCAGGCCUUCUUCCUCACUGAAAGUGCUUUACAACCCGAAGGCCUUCUUCACACACGCGGCAUGGCUGGAUCAGGGUUGCCCCCAUUGUCCAAUAUUCCCCACUGCUGCCUCCCGUAGGAGUCUGGGCCGUGUCUCAGUCCCAGUGUGGCUGAUCAUCCUCUCAGACCAGACUACGGAUCGUCGCCUUGGUGAGCCGUUACCUCACCAACCAGCUAAUCCGACAUAGGCUCAUCCGAUAGCGCGAGGCCCGAAGGUCCCCCGCUUUCCCCCGUAGGGCGUAUGCGGUAUUAGCCUGGGUUUCCCCAGGUUAUCCCCCACUACCGGGCAGAUUCCUAUGCAUUACUCACCCGUCCGCCGCUCGCCACCAGGGAGCAAGCUCCCCGUGCUGCCGCUCGACUUGCAUGUGUUAGGCCUGCCGCCAGCGUUCAAU